UCUCUCAUAGUUUAGUAGUUUGGUAGCAUUGGUGCUGAAAGCCAAAAGUCUCGGGUUCGAUUCCCGGCGAGGGUG
rnacentral:tRNA from 1 species